GUCCUUGCCUUAAACUAUGUAUACUUGGCGUAGUGGGACUCAACCCCCAUUGUGCCGUAGCUAACGCGAUAAGUAUACCGCCUGGGGAGUACGCUCGCAAGGGUGAAACUCAAAAGAAUUGACGGGGACCCGCACAAGCAGUGGAGCAUGUGGUUUAAUUCGAUGCAACGCGAAGAACCUUACCAGGACUUGACAUGUAUGUGACGAUUACAGAGAUGUAAUUUUCUCGCAAGAGACAGAUACACAGGUGCUGCAUGGCUGUCGU
rnacentral:rRNA from 1 species